GGACUGCAGUCUGCAACUCGACUGCACGAAGUCGGAAUUGCUAGUAAUCGCGGAUCAGAAUGUCGCGGUGAAUACGUUCCCGGGUCUUGUACACACCGCCCGUCACACCAUGGGAGUCGGAAAUGCCCGAAGUCAGUGACCCAACCGUAAGGAGGGAGCUGCCGAAGGUGGAGCCGGUAACUGGGGUGAAGUCGUAACAAGGUAUC
rnacentral:rRNA from 1 species